UACAGAGGUCUCAAGCGUUGUUCGGAUUCAUUGGGCGUAAAGGGUGCGUAGGCGGCGCGGUAAGUCGGGUGUGAAAUCUCGGAGCUUAACUCCGAAACUGCAUUCGAUACUGCCGUGCUUGAGGACUGGAGAGGAGACUGGAAUUUACGGUGUAGCGGUGAAAUGCGUAGAGAUCAGGCGGAACACCCGUGGCGAAGGCGGCCAGCUGGGCCGUCCCUGACGCUGAGGCGCGAAGGCGUGGGGAGCGAACGGG
rnacentral:rRNA from 1 species